GCCACGAGCGCUCACAGUCGGACACGCUGCCGGUGGACCUCAGCUCGGAGAGCAGCAGCGUCACCAGCAUGCCGCUCCGCAAGACGCACACCAGCGCGAGUUCAGUGGCAUCUGGCGACGGCCCGGGCAACGCGAGUUACGGCGCCCACCAUUACGAGGCGCCACGGUACGACGCGGCCGGCCCCAGCGGCUUGGAGCUGUUCACCAACUCGCCGAUGCGGCACUACAUGUACCUGCCCAAGCCUAACGCAGCCGGACCCCUCCGACCGCCGCCGCCGCCGCCGG